rfam:Candidatus Yanofskybacteria bacterium RIFCSPLOWO2_01_FTLL_49_25 rifcsplowo2_01_scaffold_964, whole genome shotgun sequence.
ACUGCGUACAGUAAGGGCGUAUGGAGGAUGCCUAGACAUUAUAUGACUAUGAAGGACGUGGCGUGACUGCGAUAAGCCUCGGGGAGCCGUCUAGCGGGCUUUGAUCCGGGGAUUUCCGAAUGGGGGAACCCAACUGGAGUAAUGUCCAGUUACUCGACGCAAGUCGGGAGUGUACCUGGCGAAGUGAAACAUCUCAGUAGCCAGAGGAAAAUAAAGCGAACGUAACGAUUGAAUAUUCCGGGCGUUCACGCGUGGAAAUCUUUGAUCGUUCGCGAUACCCUAAGUAGCGGCGAGCGAAAGGGGCAUAGCCCAAACCUAUUGUCUGUUAGUUUACUAAUUGGCAGUGGGGGUUGCAGGGAUAAUACACUCAAAACAUAGCCCAGAGCAUUUACUUGUUCUGAGUUAUGUUCUUGAAAAGAGUUACAAAUUUGGAGAUUAAUGGAACAGUCCUGGAAAGGACGACCACAGCGGGUGAUAGUCCCGUACAUGAAAAUUUUCAAACUCUUGUGUUAUUUCCUAAGUACCCAUGGAGCAGACUAUCCGUGGUGAAUCCGGGCCUACUACGGUCCAAGGCUAAAUACAUAUAGUGAUCGAUAGUGAACAAGUACCGUGAGGGAAAGGUGAAAAGAACCCCGGAGAGGGGAGUGAAAUAGUUACUGAAACCAUACGCCUACAAAGAGCCGGAGCCUCGCGUGCCGCAAGGCAAGCGGGUGACGGUGUGCCUAUUGAAGAAUGAUCCAACGAGUUUUUGCACUUGGCGUUAGCCUAAGCCCGAGAGGGCGGAGGCGCAGGGAAACCGAGUGUUAAUAGCGCGACUUAGUCAUGUGCAAAAGACCCGAAGCCGGGUGAGCUACCCAUGGACAGGCUGAAGUGUUUCGAAAGAUACAUGGAGGGCCGAACCGUUUGAUAGCGCAACAUCAUCGGAUGAUCUGUGGGUCGGAGUGAUAAGCUUAUCGAACCCGGUAAUAGCUGGUUCUCCCCGAAAUGCCUUUAGGGGCAGCGCAUAUUAGUAAGUAUGGGGGUAGAGCUCUGGAUGGUUCCUCGUGCCUUUACUGGUAGAGCUACCAACCAAACUACGAAUACCAUACUGUAAUGAUAUGUAGUGAGACUGUGAGGGCAAAGCUUCAUAGUCGCGACGGAAAGAGCCGUUUGACCACCGCUUAAGGUCCCUAAAUCUAUGCUCAGUGUGAAAGGAAGUGUUUUGCCUUAGACAGGUAGGAUGUUGGCUUAGAAGCAGCCAUCAUUUAAAAAGUGCGUAACAGCUUACUACUCGAUCUGCCGCAAGGCAGGAGGCAAGAUGCGCCGAAAAUGUAACGGGGCUAAGCAUAGUACCGAAUGCGUGGGUUGUGGAGAUUUCGUUCAGAAUAAAAUCGUCAGCGUAAUUGAAAAUCGGGUGGCGGUGGCAAGCCCUUUCUGGUCGUGCCCAUUUCGGGACCUGCCGGGUUGUGCUUACCUCGUUAGCGUUAACACCGCCACCCGACUCGAAUCAAGGUUGUAUCUGUGGGCGGCUAGCUCAGCUGGGAGAGCAUCGGACACUUGCGUUUGAACCCCUCCAAGUAGCGCGCGUAUAGGGAGGGGUGAUGUAAGGAAGCCGAGGGUCGUGGGUUCAAAUCCCAUGUCGCCCACCACAACCAAUCUCUUGGACGGGGCCUGGGUAGCUCAGUGGUAGAGCGUCCGAUUCGUAAUCGGAAUGUCGCCGGUUCAAGUCUGGCUCCGGGCUACACCAAGAGAAACGCUGAUCUUAUUUGUACCGUUGUCUGGUCGGAGACGUUUCGCGUUACACGCUACGCGUUUUGCGACCAGGCCUGAACGAAGUCUCCACAGCGGUAGGGGAGCACUCCAUGUGCAGCGAAGCUUAUGCCGCGAGGCGGAGUGGAGCGCAUGGAGGAGAGAAUGUUGGAAUGAGUAACCACAAGAGAGGUGAAAGCCCUCUCCGCCGAAAGCCUAAGGUUUCCUCCGCGAUGUCAAUCAUCGGAGGGUUAGGCGUGCCUAAGGAUAACCGUGCUUUCGGGCACGGGAAGCCGAUGGACAGCCGGUUAAUAUUCCGGCCCUUGCACGGCAAUCGAUGGAGUGACGGAAGAAAUGAGUCGGAGCGCAUUAUUGGAUUUGCGUUUUUGCGUCGUAGGGUUGUUCUGACUGAAAAUCAUCAGAACUGGCUUCAAUGCCGAUCUCAAAACGUGAAGAAACUCGGGUAACCGGGGAUUCCGAUGAAGAGCUUUCCAAGAAAACCUUCUAAGAUUAUUGCCGUGUAACACGUACUGAAUCCGAAACAGGUGGGCAAGUAUAAAUGUACUAAGGCGAACGAGUGAUUAUUGGCUAAGGAACUCGGCAAAAAAGCGGCCGUAAGUUAGCGAUAUGGCCUGCCUCGCGCAAGCGAGGCCGCAGCGAAAAACCCCUGGCAACUGGUUAUCUAAACCACAACUCCGUGCAAACUCGAAAGAGGACGUAUACGGGGUGACGCUUGUCCGGUGCUGGAACGUUAACGGUUGAAGUGGUAGGCCGCAAGGUUUACUGCGGAAGCCCGAAGCGCCAGUGAACGACGGCAGUAACUAUAACUGUCUAAAAGUAGCAAAAUACCUAAGUCAUGCAUGGGUCUAUAAGAAGCGAUUCUUAUAGCAAAUUUGGCUAUAUGCGGGAAACCCCGGAUGUAUCUGAAACUACUCAUUUGCGAUAUAAUUAAGCUAGUGAGUAAAAAUGUUUUCAGUGA